rnacentral:rRNA from 1 species
GCAGCCUGAUCCAGCAAUGCCGCGUGUGUGAUGAAGGCCCUCGGGUUGUAAAGCUCUUUUAUCGGGAGCGAAAUCGGCAAGGUUAAUACCUUUGCCCUCUGACGGUACCUGAGGAAUAAGCACCGGCUUACUCCGUGCCCUCAGCCGCGGUAAUACGGAGGGUGCAAGCGUUAAUCGGAAUUACUGGGCGUAAAGCGUGCGUAAGCGGUUCGUUAAGUCUGUUGUGAAACCCCCGGGCUCAACCUGGGAAUGGCAAUGGAUACUGGCGAGCUUGAGUGUGUCAAAGGAUGGUGGAAUUCCCGGUGUAGCGGUGAAAUGCGUAAAGAUCGGGAGGAACAUCAUUGGCGAAGGCGGCCAUCUGGGACAACACUGACGCUGAGGCACAAAAGCCUGGGGAGCAAACACGAUUAAAUACCCUGGUAGUCCACCCCCUAAACGAUGCUAACUGGAUGUUGGUCUCAACUCAAACAUCCCUGUCGAAGCUAACGCGUUAAGUUCGCCGCCUGGGGAGUACUGUCGCAAGACUGAAACUCAAAGGAAUUGACGGGGGCCCGCACAAGCGGCGGAGUAUGUGGUUUAAUUCCAUGCCACUCGAAGAACCUUACCUGG